UACGUAGGGUGCUAGCGUUGUCCGGAUUUAUUGGGCGUAAAGGGCUCGUAGGCGGCGUGUCGCGUCGGGAGUGAAAGCCCGCUGCUCAACGGCGGGUUGGCUUCCGGUACGGGCAUCGCUGGAGUGCGGCAGGGGAGACUGGAAUUCCUGGUGUAGCGGUGGAAUGCGCAGAUAUCAGGAGGAACACCAAUAGCGAAGGCAGCUCGCUGGGACGUUACUGACACUGAGGCGCGAAAGCGUGGGGAGCGAACAGG
rnacentral:rRNA from 1 species